rnacentral:rRNA from 1 species
ACUAAAAAACUAGCCUAAACACUUAAUAAAUGAGUAAUAUAAAUAAUAAAAAAUAAGCCAAUCAGUAAAAAUUAAAUCAUUCUAUUACCCAAGUAUGGGAGACAGAAAAGGUAAAACUAGAGCAAUAGAGAUAGUACCGCAGGGAAAGUUGAAAAAGAAAUGAAACAACCCAUUUAAGUAUUAAUAAGCAGAGACUAAGACUCGUACCUUUUGCAUCAUGGUUUAGCAAGCACACCCAAGCAAAGAGACCUUUAGUUUGAAACCCCGAAACCAAGUGAGCUACCCCGAGGCAGCCUAUCUAGGGCCAACCCGUCUCUGUGGCAAAAGAGUGGGAAGAACUCCGGGUAGAGGUGACAGACCUACCGAACCUGGUGAUAGCUGGUUGCCUGAGAAAUGAAUAGAAGUUCAGCCUCAUUAGCCUUUGAUCAAUUAAAUUGGACUAGAAGAAAUAAAUGAGAGUUAGUUAAAAGGGGUACAGCCCGUUUAACCGAGGACACAACCUUAGUAAGGAGGAUAAAGAUCAUAUUACAUAAAACAUACUGUCCUAGUGGGCCUAAAGGCAGCCACCUAAUCAGAAAGCGUUAAAGCUUAAACAGGUAAAAGUUUAUUAUUCCGAUAAAAAAUCUUACUCCCCUAAAAUCUAUCAGGCCACCCCAUGCCUUCAUGGAAAAGACCAUGCUAAAAUGAGUAACAAGAAGACCCACUCUUCUCCUUGACACAAGUGUAAGCCAAACCGGACUACCCAUUGGCAAACGACGAACCCAACCAAAGAGGGAAAUGUGGAUGAAAAUUAAAUUCAAGAAAAACCCACAACAAUGAAUCGUUACCCCCACACUGGAGUGCCCCAGAGGAAAGACUAAAAGAGAAGGAAGGAACUCGGCAAACAUAAGCCUCGCCUGUUUACCAAAAACAUCGCCUCCUGCAACAUAAUCAAGUAUAAGAGGUCCAGCCUGCCCGGUGACCACAGGUUCAACGGCCGCGGUAUUUUGACCGUGCAAAGGUAGCGCAAUCACUUGUCUUUUAAAUGAAGACCCGUAUGAAAGGCCAAACGAGGGCUUAACUGUCUCCCAUUUCUAGUCAGUGAAAUUGAUCUGCCCGUGCAGAAGCGGACAUAAAAAUACAAGACGAGAAGACCCUUUGGAGCUUAAGGCAUAAAACUCAACCACAUAAAGCAACUCUAUAAAAAGUGAAUAUCAAAACAUGUGGCAAAUGAAGACCCUGCCUUCGGUUGGGGCGACCGCGGAGGAAAGAAAAGCCUCCACGUGGAUUGGGAUAUUUCCUAAAACCAAGAGAGACAUCUCUAAGCUACAGAACAUCUGACCAUUAAUGAUCCGGCCAAUGACAGCCGAUCAACGAACCAAGUUACCCUAGGGAUAACAGCGCAAUCCUCUCCAAGAGUCCCUAUCGACGAGGGGGUUUACGACCUCGAUGUUGGAUCAGGACAUCCUAAUGGUGCAGCAGUUAUUAAGGGUUCGUUUGUUCAACGAUUAAAGUCCUACGUGAUCUGAGUUCAGACCGGAGCAAUCCAGGUCAGUUUCUAUCUGUAAAGCUUCUCUUCCCAGUACGAAAGGAUCGGAAAAGAGGGGCCCAUGCUCAAGGCACGCCCCACUCCUAAUUUAUGAAUACAAAUAAAUAUAAGUAAAGGAAAGCAAAACCCAAUUAACCGAAAUAAGGUCAUU